rnacentral:rRNA from 1 species
AGUGAACGCUGGCGGUAGGCCUAACACAUGCAAGUCGAACGGCAGCACAGUAAGAGCUUGCUCUUACGGGUGGCGAGUGGCGGACGGGUGAGGAAUACAUCGGAAUCUACUUUUUCGUGGGGGAUAACGUAGGGAAACUUACGCUAAUACCGCAUACGACCUACGGGUGAAAGCAGGGGAUCUUCGGACCUUGCGCGAUUGAAUGAGCCGAUGUCGGAUUAGCUAGUCGGCGGGGUAAAGGCCCACCAAGCCGACGAUCCGUAGCGGGUCUGAGAGGAUGAUCAGCAACCCUGGACUGGAGACACGGGCCAGACACCUACGGGAGGCAGCAGUGGGGAAUAUUGGACAAUGGGCGAAAGCCUGAUCCAGCCAUACCGCGGGGGUGAAGAAGGCCUUCGGUUGGUAAAGCCUUUUUGUUGGGAAAGAAAAGCAGCAGGUUAAUACCCCGCUGUUCGGACGGUACCCAAAGAAUAAGCACCGGCUAAUUUCGU